UACGUAGGUGACCAGCGUUGUCCGGAUUUACUGGGCGUAAAGAGCGCGCAGGCGGUCGUUCAAGUCGAGUGUGAAAGCCCCCGGCUCAACUGGGGAGGGUCAUUCGAUACUGAUCGACUUGAAGGCAGGAGAGGGAAGCGGAAUUCUCGGUGUAGCGGUGAAAUGCGUAGAUAUCAGGAAGAACACCGACGGCGAAGGCAGCUCGCUGGGACGGUACUGACGCUGAGGCGCGAAAGCGUGGGGAGCGAACAGG
rnacentral:rRNA from 1 species